GUCAGCAGCCACACCGCCUGCAGCUCAGACUAGGUUUGGGCAUGGCCAGUACUUGGAUGGGAGACCAACUAGGAAAGCUGGGCUGCUGCUGGCA
rnacentral:rRNA from 1 species